UACGAAGGGGCUAGCGUUGCUCGGAAUCACUGGGCGUAAAGCGCACGUAGGCGGAUUGUUAAGUCAGGGGUGAAAUCCUGGAGCUCAACUCCAGAACUGCCUUUGAUACUGGCGAUCUCGAGUCCGGGAGAGGUGAGUGGAACUGCGAGUGUAGAGGUGAAAAUUCGUAGAUAUUCGCAAGAACACCAGUGGCGAAGGCGGCUCACUGGCCCGGUACUGACGCUGAGGUGCGAAAGCGUGGGAGCAACAGGGAUUAAGAU
rnacentral:rRNA from 1 species